CUAAUUCGUAGCAUUCUUUUAGGCACUGCACACAACUAAAAAACACUCUGACUCUCACUUGUACUCUCCCCAAUUACCCUGACUGACCGAUCGACAGACACACGUACUGCGGGUAUGCCGGGGGAGACCUCACUGGAGCCGAUCCCCUCGAGUAAUUGCCUGUAGCAAUAUUGGCAUCGCUCGGGGCAUCGCUCUGAGAGUCGUUCUUGAGCCCCGGCAGCCAGCAGUACGUCGCAGCUCUGGCGAAUAAUUAUAUUUUUUCGUGUCCGCCCCCGCCAAUAAAUAAAAAGUACAAGUCGAGCGGUUUUUCGAGAGUGUGUGUGCGCGAAGAGUGUUUCUUGCGCGAAGUAGUGUGAUUUUUCCAAACAGCAAUUAAAUCAAAGAUUGCUUGUGCUAAUAAUCUGCCCAUAUACCGACCACUUUGCAUAUUAUAUAUGCGGGCAACUGCCUCUCCCAAAUUUACUUAUCGUAACGUAUACUGGCUCCCCUGAACCUGCUGGUUCAGGUCCAGGAUGGAGUUGGUUUACGUUACGAUUAGACACUUUCGUAUUGCCACCGCAGCAUACGACAAACAAAAAAAUCAAUGCCUCCAAAACAGUUCAUGUUUUUCACACUCUACGGAACACCCUGAUGCCUGAGGGUCCAUUUGCUCCUAACAUCGACGGACAGAUACUGGAAACUGUCUCCUUCCAUCCUUAUCUCGGAGUUCGCUUGGAUACGAAGCUGCAGUGCCACCACCACAUCACGGCAACUAUCUCAAAAA
rnacentral:lncRNA from 1 species